UUUAGCGAUAACGAACGAGAACCUUGACCUGCUAAAUAAGCCAGGUUGACUUUGUUCGGCCGCCGGCCGUUCCUUUAGUAGGGACUUUUGGCUCAAGCCAAUGGAAGUACGAGGCAAUAACAGGACUGUGAUGCCCUUAGAUGUUCUGGGCCGCACGCGCGCUACACUGACAGAGCCAGCGAGUACAUCACCUUGGCCGAAAGGUCUGGGUAAUCUUGUUAAACUCUGUCGUGCUGGGGAUAGGGCAUUGCAAUG
rnacentral:rRNA from 1 species